rnacentral:misc_RNA from 1 species
UCGAAGCCUAGAAAGCGCGACCGCGAAUGAGUUUACAAUCUUGGGNAGCGCCUAGCGGCCCUCGGGCUCCCCGGCGCAACCUCGCGCGGCCGGCGAGGAGACCUGCGCUCUUCGCCUGCCCAAACUAACGAAAUCCGGCGCGGACCGCGCCAAGGAAUCAAAACGAGAAGUGCUUGNACCCUCCGACCCGUUGAUCGGGUUGCAGGGCCUUGCCAGUUCAGAAAAUAACAUAACGACUCUCGGCAACGGAUAUCUCGGCUCUCGCAUCGAUGAAGAACGUAGCAAAAUGCGAUACUUGGUGUGAAUUGCAGAAUCCCGUGAAUCAUCGAGUCUUUGAACGCAAGUUGCGCCCGAAGCCUCUAGGCCGAGGGCACGUCUGCCUGGGCGUCAUGCACUGCGAUGCCCCCAUGCAAGCAUGCGGGGCGAAUCUUGGCCUCCCGUUAGCCCAACUCGCGGAAUGGCUUAAAAGAGAGCCUCGAGACGGAAUAACGUCGCGACAAGUGGUGGUUAAGAGGCCUUCGGCCCCGGAACUUAGCGCGUCGCGGCGUCACCCGCCCCUUGCUCGGAAAAAGACCUUAGCGGAGCGCUAUUGCGCGCGCCAGCAUCG